GCGACCAUACUACUUCGGAAACAUCGGUUUUCGGCUGAUCACCGAAGUUAGGCAACUUGGGGCCCGGUUAGUACUUGCAUGGGGGAACGGCUGGGGAUACCGGAUGUUGCGGCCGCU
rnacentral:rRNA from 1 species